ACAACGCUGGCGGCAGGCUAACACAUGCAAGUCGAACGGGAUCUUCGGAUCUAGUGGCGGACGGGUUAGUAACGCCGAACGUACCCUUUUCUACGGAAUAGCCUCGGGAAACUGAGAGUAAUACCGUAUACGCCCUUCGGGGGAAAGAUUUAUCGGAGAAGGAUCGGCCCGCGUAAGAUUAGAUAGUUGGUGGGGUAAUGGCCUACCAAGUCUACGAUCUUUAGCUGGUUUGAGAGUGAUGAUCAGCAACACUGGGACUGAGACACGGCCCAGACUCCUACGGGAGUGCAGCAGUGGGGAAAUCUUAGACAAUGGGGGAAACCCUGAAUCUAGCCAUGCCGCCGUGAGUGACGAAGCCUUAGGGUCGUAAAAGCUCUUUUCGCUGGGGAAGAUAAUGACCUUGUACCCAGUUAAAGAAACCCCGGGAUUAAACUCCGUUGCCAAGCAACC
rnacentral:rRNA from 1 species